AACGAACGCUGGCGGCAGGCUUAACUCAUGCAAGUCGAACGCAUCCUUCGGGGUGAGUGGCAGACGGGUGAGUAACGCGUGGGAACGUGCCCUUCAGUUCGGAAUAACCCAGGGAAACUUGGGCUAAUACCGGAUACGUGCGAGAGCAGAAAGAUUUAUCGCUGAAGGAUCGGCCCGCGUCUGAUUAGCUAGUUGGGGGGGUAAUGGCCCACCAAGGCGACGAUCAGUAGCUGGUCUGAGAGGAUGAUCAGCCACAUUGGGACUGAGACACGGCCCAAACUCCUACGGGAGGCACCAGUGGGGAAUAUUGGACAAUGGGCGCAAGCCUGUUCCAGCCAUGCCGCGUGAGUGAUGACGGCCUUAGGGUUGUAAAGCUCUUUCGUCCGGGACGAUAAUGACGGUACCGGAGGAAGAAGCCCCGGCUAACUUCGUGCCAGCCGCCGCCGUAA
rnacentral:rRNA from 1 species